UACCUGGGAGACUGAGGUUGGA
rnacentral:miRNA from 1 species